CUUGUGUUGUGUGCUACAUCUGCCACCAACAACAGCAGGAGGAAGCUGAACUGGGAAAAACUGGUGUCCCUGCAUUCCAGACAGGGAUUUGGGUAUUCACGAGAAGAAAGGUAGUCUGACAAGAGAGUGAUUGAAUCAGCCCCCUUGAUACCUGGGAGUGACAGAAGGCUUUGGAAGUUUGGAACAUUGUUUACUGCAAUGACUGCUGUGACCUAUGCAGCUAAAUGAGUCUGUAGCACCAGAACACUUGAGGGCUAACACACUCACCUGAGAGUUGUAUUUCUUCUUAGCUCUAAAGAACAAACUGAAAAAGAAUUUA